rnacentral:lncRNA from 1 species
GUGGGUCGGGUCAACGUUGAGGGCGUGAGAAAUGACCUCCGGGUCGAUCCCAGGUACAUCGGCCGCCGACCAGGCAAACACAUCGACAUUGGCUCGGAGGAAUUCCACCAACCGGGCCCGAGCUCCCGGGUCGAGAUUGGCGCCGACCCGGAUCGUCCUGUCCGGGCGACCUUCCUCGAGGGGAACUUCGAUCACACCCUCGGCCGGCUCCCCGUGCCGCAAGGCC